CGAAUGGCUCAUUAUAUAAGUUAUCGUUUAUUUGAUAGUACCUUACUACUUGGAUAACCGUGGUAAUUCUAGAGCUAAUACAUGCUGAAAAUCCCGACUUCGGAAGGGAUGUAUUUAUUAGAUUCAAAACCAAUGCCCUCUGGGCUCACUGGUGAUUCAUGAUAACUGCUCGAAUCGCACGGCCUUGCGCCGGCGAUGGCUCAUUCAAAUUUCUUCCCUAUCAACUUUCGAUGUUUGGGUAGUGGCCAAACAUGGUUGCAACGGGUAACGGAGGGUUAGGGCUCGACCCCGGAGAAGGAGCCUGAGAAACGGCUACUACAUCCAAGGAAGGCAGCAGGCGCGCAAAUUACCCAAUCCCGACACGGGGAGGUAGUGACAAUAAAUACUGAUACAGGGCUCUUUUGGGUCUUGUAAUUGGAAUGAGUACAAUUUAAAUCCCUUAACGAGGAACAAUUGGAGGGCAAGUCUGGUGCCAGCAGCCGCGGUAAUUCCAGCUCCAAUAGCGUAUAUUAAAGUUGUUGUGGUUAAAAAGCUCGUAGUUGAACCUUGGGCCUGGCUGGCCGGUCCGCCUCACCGCGUGUACUGGUCCGGCCGGGCCUUUCCCUCUGUGGAACCCCAUGCCCUUCGCUGGGCGUGGCGGGGAAACAGGACUUUUACUUUGAAAAAAUUAGAGUGCUCCAGGCAGGCCUAUGCUCGAAUACAUUAGCAUGGAAUAAUGAAAUAGGACGCGCGGUUCUAUUUUGUUGGUUUCUAGGACCGCCGUAAUGAUUAAUAGGGACAGUCGGGGGCAUCAGUAUUCAAUAGUCAGAGGUGAAAUUCUUGGAUCUAUUGAAGACUAACUACUGCGAAAGCAUUUGUCAAGGAUGUUUUCAUUAAUCAGGAACGAAAGUUAGGGGAUCGAAGACGAUCAGAUACCGUCGUAGUCUUAACCAUAAACUAUGCCGACUAGGGA
rnacentral:rRNA from 1 species